GGGAGCCUCCUCUGCAGUUCCGGAUGCCCAUCUGGCUCCUCGCGACCGGUCGUCGGCAGGCGAGUGGGGCUCGGGCCCCUCUGGCCAGUGUCCCCCAGGAGAACUCUCUGCCAUCCACACACUGCAGGGGUACAGGGCUGCAGGCACCGUUCCUCCUCCCCGUCCCCUUCCCGUGGGAGGACGCAACUGGAGCUCUCCACCCCCCUUUGCAGCACAGUGAAAGCGAGCACACGAGCCGAGCGCAGGCUGGCUGUAGGGGCCACCCCGGGCUGCGGGCGGGCCCCAGAGCUGACGGGCUGUGCCCUCCUCCACAUCUGGGGGAGACGCUCGGGCCGACUCGGUGCGCUGCGGCAUCCUUAUCCCCCCACACUGCACGCGCUCCCUGCAGGACGGAUUCCAGGGGUUCCUAGGCCGGAUCCCGGGCCCUCACCCGUGCCCUGGUCACAGCGACCCCAGAGGCAGCCCCCAACAGAGCCGAGGAGGGGCUGCCGCCAGCGGAUGCUCAGCGCCAUCUCCUCCCUGUCGCCUCCCUCCAGCUGCUGCUGCCGCCUGCCCCUCAUCAUCCCCGUGGCUGCUGGCCCCAGAGACCAGCAUCGCCGAGGGCUUCAGAGGGCCUGCCUGCCCUUCGGGAGCCUCAGAAAGGAAUCCUCCCCAAAUCUUCAAGUCCCACCUGGUCCAGGCUGUUGGACAGGGCAAAAAAAAAAAAGCGUCCCUUUUGACCAAAGCCUGCUGGUCCCUCCUGCUGGUGGCGACACUGAAUCUAGGACCUCCACCUGCCGAGUCAGGAGAGCAUCACCUCCGCUGGGAUGCUGAGCGUGCUCGGGGAGGACCCCAGGGCGCACACCCCCAGGGGGUUCUAGUCCCAAACGCUCUGUCCUGUUCCCCACACUCAGCCCCCUCUCUUCUCUGGGCACCCACUCUCCCAUGGCCCGCGCUGGCGUGGGUGGUGUGUGGAGAUGCGAGGCGGAGGCCAUUGUGACCCCCGUUUCCUCCUGAACCACCGGGUCUCAGGCUCGUUAGGAUGAUUGUGCCAUUCUUUUUUUUUUUUUUUUUAAGAUUUUAUUUAUUUAUUUAUGAGACAGAGAGGCAGAGACACAGACACAGGGAGAAGCAGGCUCCAUGCAGGGAGCCCGACGGGGGGGGGUGGGUGGGGACCAGGCCCCGGGCCGAAGGCCACGCCAAACCGCUGAGCCCCCGGGCUGCCC
rnacentral:lncRNA from 12 species